rnacentral:lncRNA from 1 species
AAGUUUCAUACCUGUUAGAUCUCCUGCUGCCAGGAACUAACCUCCUGGGAGACAGGUCUUAUCGUCAUCCAGGCAUAUAGGAGGGUGUUGGGAAAACACUUGUAGUGGAUGCUGGAUUGUGCCAUUCAGAGCCAGCUCCCUUUGCUAUUGAAGAACUCAUUUCCCUACAUGUCAGGACUUCUGCUGGCUGAUGGCCCCCAGCUGUGAGCUCUUUCAGGCAUCACCUUUGGCUGCAAAAGGCUCCCUCUCCUGAAGUUACUACCUGCAUCCCUGGAGGCAGACUUCAUCUCAUGUCUUCAUCCAAAGUUUGAACAAAUUGGCUAAGAAGGUGCUAGACAUGUAAAGGGACUAUUUUUUUUCUUAAUUCAAAUGUAGGAGGAGUAUGGAUCUCCAGGAACCAGAAGAGCUGCAUACAUAUCCCAACAAUUCAGCGACAGCACUAUCAGCCCAGAUGGGGGUUGUGAGCAAAGUCCGAGAUGGUCAGAAGGAAAGGAGAACCUGGGAGGUGGCGAGUGUCCACUGCUCUAGUCUCAGGACAGCCUGCUCUGUUAAAGCACCUGGUCCUUCUUCCUGAAGACUUCAGUCCCACCUUGCAUUAUGUUUUGUUCUGUGUAUGUGCGUGUCUAUCUCUCCUGCUAACUGCUGAGCUUGCUAAGGAAAGGAACCUUGUUUUAUG